rnacentral:rRNA from 1 species
GAUGAACGCUAGCGGCAGGCUUAACACAUGCAAGUCGAGGGGUAGUAUUGGAGCUUGCUCUAAUAUGAGACCGGCGCACGGGUGCGUAACGCGUAUAGAACCUACCUUAAUCAAAGGGAUAGCCCAGAGAAAUUUGGAUUAAUACCUUAUGUGAUUAUAGAGUGGCAUCACUUAAUAAUUAAAGAUUUAUCGGAUUAAGAUGGCUAUGCGUCCCAUUAGCUAGUUGGUAUGGUAACGGCAUACCAAGGCGAUGAUGGGUAGGGGUCCUGAGAGGGAGAUCCCCCACACUGGUACUGAGACACGGACCAGACUCCUACGGGAGGCAGCAGUGAGGAAUAUUGGUCAAUGGAGGCAACUCUGAACCAGCCAUGCCGCGUGCAGGAAGAAGGUCUUAUGGAUUGUAAACUGCUUUUAUACAGGAAGAAACCUACUCUUGCGAGAGUAAUUGACGGUACUGUAAGAAUAAGGACCGGCUAACUCCGUGCCAGCAGCCGCGGUAAUACGGAGGGUCCGAGCGUUAUCCGGAAUCAUUGGGUUUAAAGGGUUCGUAGGCGGUUGAAUAAGUCAGUGGUGAAAGUUUUCGGCUCAACCGGAAAAAUGCCAUUGAUACUGUUUAACUUGAAUUAGUGUGAAGUAAUUAGAAUAAGUAGUGUAGCGGUGAAAUGCAUAGAUAUUACUUAGAAUACCGAUUGCGAAGGCAGAUUACUAACACUAAAUUGACGCUGAUGGACGAAAGCGUGGGGAGCGAACAGG